rnacentral:lncRNA from 1 species
CUGUGUAUGGUCCGUGUAGAUUGAUGCAGAUUUUCUGAAAUGAAAUGUUUGUUUAGACGAGAUCAUACCGGUAAAGCAGGAAUGACAAAGCUUGCUUUUCUGGUAUGUUCUAGGUGUAUUGUGACUUUUACUGUUAUAUUAAUUGCCAAUAUAAGUAAAUAUAGAUUAUAUAUGUAUAGUGUUUCACAAAGCUUAGACCUUUACCUUCCAGCCACCCC